rnacentral:rRNA from 1 species
AAUGAACGUUGGCGGCGUGGAUUAGGCAUGCAAGUCGCGCGAGAAACGUAGCAAUACGUGGAAAGCGGCGUAAGGGAGAGUAAUACAUAGUUAGCUACCCUCGGGACUGGGAUAGCGGCGGGAAACUGCCGGUAAUACCAGAUGACGUCUUCGGACCAAACGUGUAAACCGGCCCGGGGAGGUGACUAUGUCCUAUCAGCUAGUUGGCGGUGUAACGGACCACCAAGGCUAAGACGGGUAUGGGGCGUGAGAGCGUGCCCCCACUCACUGGGACUGAGACACUGCCCAGACACCUACGGGUGGCUGCAGUCGAGAAUCUUCGGCAAUGGGCGCAAGCCUGACCGAGCGACGCCGCGUGCGGGAUGAAGGCCUUCGGGUUGUAAACCGCUGUCGUAGGGGAGGAAGGCUCCGUGCAGAACGGAGUUUGACCGAUCCUAGGAGGAAGGGCCGGCUAAUCUCGUGCCAGCAGCCGCCGUAAGAC